CAGAUGCGAGCCGAAUUCAUGCUUGUUUGGACCUAGUCCAAUCGGCGGCCAUUGUUGGAAGCGUGCAUGCCACGGAAAAGCUCGGGCAACAUGAUGGAGACGAUUUUCAGUCCCGUAGAACUUGGUCUCCUCGUUAAUGGUUAAAAUCCAAAUUGUUCAUUUGGAUUUUAACCUAGGGGAGGGAUCUCCGGGGUAUAUUGGACUGAAAUCGUUUUCAUCAUUUCACGGAAGGAAAUCGGGUAACUUGAGCCGUAUCGGGAGAGAAACGGAGUAAAAUUUGCAAAUUUUGAGAGAAUUUUAUUUUUUGAAUAAUAUUCGGCUCGCCAUAGAAAUUGUAUUAAUUUCGAGUUUUUUAUAAUAUAAAUUUUUUUAUUCUAAAUAAUUUUCAGUAUAUU